GUUCUUCCGGGAAAAUGGCGACUCCCGCUCGUGUCCCGGAGUCACCGCCGUCCGCGGAUCCGGCGCUAGUAGCGGGGCCUGCCGAGGAAGCCGAGUGCCCGCCGCCGCGCCAGCCUCAGCCCGCGCAGAAUGUGCUCGCUGCCCCGCGGCUUCGAGCCCCAAGUUCCCGAGGACUUGGAGCGGCGGAGUUUGGUGGAGCUGCGGGAAAUGUUGAAGCGCCAGGAGAGACUUUUGCGCAACGAGCAGCUUUGUUCAGCAGCUUGUUGCAAAAGAUGGUUUGAAGGAAUAAAAAGCAGAAGACAGUAGGAGGAUAUUUUCAGAGAGGCUCCCCACGAGACAGUUAAAAUUCAUUUGCAAAUUGCCCGACAAAGGUAAAAAGAUCUUUGACUCUUUUGCCAAACUGAAAGCUGCCAUUGCAGAAUGUGAAGAAGUUAGAAGAAAAAGUGAACUGUGUCACCCUGUUAGUUUAGACUGUAAGCUAAGGCAAAAAGCAAUUGCAGAAGUUGAUGUGGGUACAGAUAAGGCCCAGAAUUCUGACCCGAUACUUGAUACUUCAUCACUAGUUCCUGGGUGUUCCUCUGUAGAUAACAU
rnacentral:sRNA from 1 species